UACGUAGGCAGCAAGCGUUGUUCGGAAUUACUGGGCGUAAAGCGUGUGUAGGCGGUUGGGUAAGUCUGGUGUGAAAUCUCCUGGCUCAACUGGGAGGGUGCGCCGGAAACUGCUUGGCUAGAGUGCGGAAGAGGAGAGUGGAAUUCCCGGUGUAGCGGUGAAAUGCGUAGAUAUCGAGAGGAACACCUGCGGCGAAGGCGGGUUGCUGGGCUGACACUGACGCUGAGGCGCGAAAGCUAGGGGAGCGAACGGG
rnacentral:rRNA from 1 species